rnacentral:rRNA from 1 species
AACCACAGCCAUAUCACCCUGCAGCCCAAGACCGGUUACUCACUGAAGCUAAGCAGGGCUAAGCCUGGUCAGUACCUGGAUGGGAGGCCACAUGAGAAAGCCCGGUUGCUGUUGGUU